CGUUCCAUAAUCAAUUUCUUCUGCUGUAAACAAAUAGAUAAUAAGAUCAAUUAUAAAUCAAUCAAUUACAAUAAUUAUAAUUAAUCAUCACAGUUGAUUGACUUGUAAUUAUCACAAUUGAUUAGCUUAGAUGCUGGUAUGUAGAAAGAUGCAUACUGCGAAGCGAACGAAGAACAUAUUUCGGAGACGUUUUCUCUGUUCACUUGCUGAGUCUCGCACAGUGAUUCCGCACCAUCGAUUCUACGGAGAAGGAUUAAUUUUGUCGUGAGAAAAACGAGAGCUUUUAUCCGUGUUUGAAGACCGAUUGAAUGUUCAUCCGCACGUUGCGCCGCUCCUCGUGUUUUCUUAAGGCGACAGGAGAUAUACCUUUAAUUGAAACCUACGCAUUGUUUUACUUACGCCGGCAAAUUGCUCUUUAUUACGAUCCUCCGUCUUUUGGUUUCAAUCGCCUCAUUCCGCUGUAAAGAAAAAACAUUCCGUCGUCCUUAUUCUCUUAUUUUGAGAAAAUGAGAUUUUGAUUGCAACUUCGCGAACCGACGAUGAAGUUUAACUAUAUUAAGGAAAAGUAUAUUAGAUUUGCAUGUUAAACCAAUAGAAAAAUAUCGCAUAUAUAAAUUGUAUAAAUUCAGUGUAUAUAAAUGCAUGUCCGAUUACCAUUGUACGUCACACACUGUCUAUUAUAUUUACAAUAUUGCAGCUAAUAUUUUCCAGUAGAAACACAGAGUAAAUUAUCUCUUUAGUAGAAAAGUUUUUAUGAAGUUUUGAUGAAAUUUUUUGAUAAUAUUUUGUUAAAUUUUGAGUUUGGAACAUUUUAACCAGUGAAUUUCAUUAAAAUUUUAUAAUACAUGUAUUAGCUUCAAUAUAAUGUUUUUAAUUUGUCAUUGCGGAGUAUUUGCGACUUUUUGUUACCAUUUUCAAUAAAAUUUCCUUUUUUUUAUUAAAUAUAA